UUCAGUCAGCCAAGGGAACCCACCAUGUCUGUUUACAGUAUGGCCCACACAGGACGACACUGCUACUGUACCCAGAGAAGGGAUCUGGUGAAGCUUCCAAGGAGGACAAGUCACAGCCACUGGCCCUAGACACUGCAUCCUGGGUCCAAAUCCAGCAGAAGCUGCAGGACUUCUCCCAGGACACCCAGGCAGAGCUAGAACGGGAACGGGCACAGCUGAUGGUCCGGGCCACCAUGGCAGAACAGCAGCUUUCUGAGUUACAGGAGUAUGUGGACCAGCACUUGGGCAGGUACAAGCAGGAAAUCCUGAAACUGAGGAAGUUGGCGAAUUCAGGAGAUUCCCAAGGAGUAGAAUCUAUGCCUUCCACUAGGCCCCGGCGUCCAAGGACUCAGAGUCACUAGGUAGUCUCCCAGAAAAAGCUCAAAUCAAAUCUCUUCACAGCCAGCAUGGAACCCUCUGGACGCCCACCCCCAGAAGUGAUUCCCAGAAUAUACAAAAGUCAGAACUG
rnacentral:lncRNA from 1 species